rnacentral:rRNA from 2 species
CGCAUAGAAGUAAAGAGAUAGAGCUGCAAUGUCGCUCCCAAGAUUCAGCUUGACAGGCGUUUCGUUCUGUUGUCUCGAUCAUUUGACGAGGCAGUGGACCUGCUCGUGUCUGUUGAGUGCACUUCUUGGGAGUGAGCACUGCGACCGGUAUCUGUGCUGGUAGAAGCGUGGACAAUCGUGGGCGGACCCAUUCGGUAUCCGAUUCCCAUCGUCCAUUGCCUACCUGGUUGCGGAGACCGUGUAAUUCUGCGCCGGCUUGUCUCAGGGUGUAUGGUAAGGCGUCAACUGAAAGUCUGUAGUCAGCUUGCUGGCUAUGGUAACCCUUGGCGUCUAUACUGUGCUCCCCUGAAUUGGCGUAGAGUGUCUGCAGUGUAUGUGUCAGCCACCUAUCUCACCCGUCUUGAAACACGGACCAAGGAGUCUAACAUGUGCGCAAGUCAUUGGGUGGCAAACUCAAAGGCGUAAUGAAAGUAAUUAGCAGGAUCCCCGCAAGGGGCGCACUGCUGUCCUGUCUUAUAUGCAUUGUCAUUUAGGCAGCGAAAGAGCGUACCUGUUAGGACCCGAAAGAUGGUGAACUAUGCCUGAGCAGGAUGAAGCCAGAGGAAACUCUGGUGGAGGUCCGUAGCGAUUCUGACGUGCAAAUCGA